CUCAGUGGCAGUGAUUCCCCAGGCCUUGUCUUGGAAGUAAACGCGCGGAAACGAGCAGUGCUUGCAGUUUGAAUUGGACUAUCUUCAGCUUCCAACUCCUGGAUCUUGUUAUGAUUUUGGCUGGUGCAUCAAAGAGGCCUCUGCUAUCAGAAAUCCUCUCCCCAUGUAAGUACUUACAGACUGCGAUCAAAUCCAUCUCGUAUCCUUCUCUUUGGUCCCACGAAGGAGGGAGGCGAGGACGGAGGAAUGAAAUACAAAGCCCUUCAAUUAUGCCAAUAUGUUUUUAUGAGAAUCAGCCUGUGGCUCCAUUCUCAGCUCUGCCAGCUCACAGAUUUUGGAACGGAUCGCUACAAGAUUUUUAUACUCUCUACUCCUGAUCUGAAUUCCGGCUUGACCAAAUUGUCUGGGAAUGCUGUGCCUAGCAGAAACAUGCCUCUGAAGGGUGACUUUGACAUAACAUCAAAAGGAUGAGAGCGACUGAUGCCAUGUCAGUAUCUCUGGGGCAGAAACCCUUCCAGCAAUGGACACAUCAAAACAUCUUCUUAGUUGUCCUGACCCACCGGAAUUUGAGUCUGCUAACAAAGAGGCAGUGUUGGUAUCCGUGUUUCCCAAGAUGUCUGGCUUGCCUGCCUGGUUAACAUUGAUUUUAAGUAAAUGUUUGCUUUGAGGUA